GACGAACGCUGGCGGCGUGCUUAACACAUGCAAGUCGAACGGAAAGGCCCUGCUUUUGUGGGGUGCUCGAGUGGCGAACGGGUGAGUAACACGUGAGUAACCUGCCCUUGACUUUGGGAUAACUUCAGGAAACUGGGGCUAAUACCGGAUAGGAGCUCCUGCUGCAUGGUGGGGGUUGGAAAGUUUCGGCGGUUGGGGAUGGACUCGCGGCUUAUCAGCUUGUUGGUGGGGUAGUGGCUUACCAAGGCUUUGACGGGUAGCCGGCCUGAGAGGGUGACCGGCCACAUUGGGACUGAGAUACGGCCCAGACUCCUACGGGAGGCAGCAGUGGGGAAUAUUGCACAAUGGGCGGAAGCCUGAUGCAGCAACGCCGCGUGCGGGAUGACGGCCUUCGGGUUGUAAACCGCUUUCGCCUGUGACGAAGCGUGAGUGACGGUAAUGGGUAAAGAAGCACCGGCUAACUACGUGCCAGCAGCCGCGGUGAUACGUAGGGUGCGAGCGUUGUCCGGAUUUAUUGGGCGUAAAGGGCUCGUAGGUGGUUGAUCGCGUCGGAAGUGUAAUCUUGGGGCUUAACCCUGAGCGUGCUUUCGAUACGGGUUGACUUGAGGAAGGUAGGGGAGAAUGGAAUUCCUGGUGGAGCGGUGGAAUGCGCAGAUAUCAGGAGGAACACCAGUGGCGAAGGCGGUUCUCUGGGCCUUUCCUGACGCUGAGGAGCGAAAGCGUGGGGAGCGAACAGGCUUAGAUGCCCCGGUAGUCCACGCUGUAAACGGUGGGUACUAGGUGUGGGGUCCAUUCCACGGGUUCCGUGCCGUAGCUAACGCUUUAAGUACCCCGCCUGGGGAGUACGGCCGCAAGGCUAAAACUCAAAGGAAUUGACGGGGCCCCGCACAAGCGGCGGAGCAUGCGGAUUAAUUCGAUGCAACGCGUAGAACCUUACCUGGGUUUGACAUGGAUCGGGAGUGCUCAGAGAUGGGUGUGCCUCUUUUGGGGUCGGUUCACAGGUGGUGCAUGGCUGUCGUCAGCUCGUGUCGUGAGAUGUUGGGUUAAGUCCCGCAACGAGCGCAACCCUUGUUCACUGUUGCCAGCACGUUAUGGUGGGGACUCAGUGGAGACCGCCGGGGUCAACUCGGAGGAAGGUGGGGAUGACGUCAAGUCAUCAUGCCCCUUAUGUCCAGGGCUUCACGCAUGCUACAAUGGCUGGUACAGAGAGUGGCGAGCCUGUGAGGGUGAGCGAAUCUCGGAAAGCCGGUCUCAGUUCGGAUUGGGGUCUGCAACUCGACCUCAUGAAGUCGGAGUCGCUAGUAAUCGCAGAUCAGCAACGCUGCGGUGAAUACGUUCCCGGG
rnacentral:rRNA from 1 species